rnacentral:misc_RNA from 1 species
GGCACGAAUCCAUUGCCACGAUACCUCUGUGCUUCAGGCACAGUGCCCGUGUACAUUGCAGCGCAUGCUGGCACCACCGUCACGAAUCCACCACGCUCCCUAAAGCAGGGGACCACCUCGGGGCAGUGUACUUCUCUCUCCGUAAAGCCCCCACCCGUUCCUCCGCACGCAUGACAGUAGCGUUGCAGCAUCCUUCUCCGUAGACGCAUACAGCCUUUCUCACUCGGUUACUCACCCCCUCCCCUCCUCUGCGCGACACGGACAUGUCAGUGGACGACUUGACCUCAGCCUCCACCAUGGCGGCAGGGUCAGUCUACACAGCGAUUGCCGUGUGCGGCUGCGGGCAUGGCGGCCGACUCGGUAUUGGGCAGGACGCCCCGUCGACCAUGAGCGAGAUUGCACUACUAGACGACUUCCUGCCCACCUUCGCUUCCGCUUCCACCGUAGGAAAGAUUCGUCAGGUGGCCUGUGGAGCAUAUCACACCUUGGUGCUGACGAGCACUGGACUCUACGGCUGGGGACUGCAUGAGGAUGGCCAACUCGGCCUGGGCCGGCCAUCCACUGCAAGCACAGCAGCGGCUGCCGUGGACGGUGCUCUCGGCAACGCAGGUGCGACGGCGGCGUCGGUGCCGACUCACGUGGAUCGACCUGUGCGAAUCCCCUUCCCCGAAUGUCCAGGUGGGGACGGGGUGUUGGCCGACGUGUGCGCGGCCAUCAUCUCUAUCCACUGCGGUGCCGAUCACUCUUUUCUCUGCUCGACGGCCGGCGUUUACGUGACAGGUCGGAACGAUUGCGGCCAGCUUGGCCUCGGGCACACGGACAAUGUGUACACGUGGACUCGACUCUGCGCGGCGCUCCCCCAAACGACUGCUGACGGCAAUGCAAGGCACACGACAACAGCGUCGCGUGCAGCUUCGCCGAUGAUGUCGGCCCUACCGAGCGCGUGCGACUCCGACCUGGGCGGUCGACACGCGCGGCUGCUUUACGGCCGCCUCACGCACAUCAGCUGCGGCACCCACCACACCCUUCUCGCCUGGAGUGACGCAGUCAUCCUGCGCGCGACAGCAGCAUCGAGUCCCGCCUCCCAGCAGUCACCGGCCAACUCCAAUGACAGUCGUGAGCUUGUUCACUACCCGUCCCUACUGAUGGCAUGCGGCCGAGGCGACUUUGGCGAGCUCGGCUACGACGGCGACGCCUGGGCGGUGCUGCAGGCCAAAUCUCAGCGGCAGGAGCGCGCGCUGCGCUCAUCCCUGCAGCAGCAGCAGCAGGCGCACGGCAACGUCAAUGACGGUCAGCACGGCGCAACGGACGACACCUACAAGUUCAAGUGGAAGGCUGCGGCCGCCGUCAAGCAGCGCCGUCUCCCCUUCAACUCAGCCUUCUUCGAACUGGUGGAGGGUGUGGACCAUCUGGAGGAAAGCGCGGUGCGGCUUCCUACGACUUGUGCGGAGGAGUUGCGCCCAGCACUGCUUCACCGAGGUUGCACAGCUCAUGAACUGGCAGAGGACGUGAUCCGGCAGUGCCAUGAGCGCGCUGCAACGGACUGCAUGUGUCUCCCUCCCACAGCAUCCGCCCUCCAGACCAGCAGCGGUGUCCAAAGGCGAUGGGAGGUGGCAAAGCUGCAGGCGAUGCAUCACCACUCCGCCGUCACGCUGCGGCGGUGCCGCAAAGAGGGCGGGGAGCAGCAGCUGGUUCUGCACUGGGGCUGCUACUAUUGUUCUGACAUCGAGGACGCAGCCGCCUCCCACCCACGGGACGUCUUUGCCGAUGUGCCAGAUGCAUCCCACAGGGAUGAUGCCGGUGCGGCUGCUGCGGCGCUCCGUGGCUUGUGUAUGGGAAUACAUGCCGGAGAGGAAAGCCUAUUGCGCUACAGAGCGACGUGCGCCCCCUCGGUGCCCGCAUCGGCAGCGGCACUCGCCCGUGCAGAAGACGAAAAGAGCGCGGCAUCACCGCCCUGUGGUAUAGCCCCUCCACACGUGCCACUGCUGCAAAUCAUGGGGAGCGGCAACCUUGGGCUCGGCACCGACGACAGUUUCACGCGCACUUGGACGAGUUUGGCUUUCUCGGACGCUCCCGUGGCCGCCGGAGGUCAGGCGACGGUGCAUUCGGUGGUGGGCCGCUCGCACUACCUCAUCUGGAUGCACGAGCAGCGGGCGAGCAGCCCGGCGGGCCACUCUUCCGCGGCAGCCGCGCCUUCGUACGAAAGGUCGACGGUCGCCUCGUCAUCGUGUGUCUUUGGCUUUGGCGACAACUUGCACGGACAGAUUGGUGCACCUGCGCUGCAGGCCAGGGAUGUGCCGGGAGAUGACGUUGUUGUGGCACCACGGCCUGUUCUGCGAGACGGGAAUGUACUGCGCGUCGCUACCGAUGUGCAGCAGACGCUGCGCGACGCUGCGGCUCCACCCGCACACCACCGCCUCCCCGCUGCGGCAAAAGCGCUGGAGCCUUUCACGUCGAGAGCGGAGGUGCAUUACGAAGUGAUGGCGAUUCGUGCUGUUGAGGCCGGCGCGCGACACUCCGUCUUCCUCGUCGAUGUGCGUCCUGCUGACGCAGCAGCAGCAUCAGCAGCGCCAGCGACCACGAGCGACUAGCGCAGCAGACCUCACCCCGGUCUGCCUCCACUGUUUCCCUCCACCACCGUUUACAUCUUUGCACUUGGCACCUCCUGCGUGUCCGUGUGUGGGCGUGUGUGCGCGCGUGGGUAGCAUCACCCUUUUCUCUCUUCGCCUUUCACGUAAAUUCUCUCGGUGGCCUAUCCGCACGCACACCUGCACAUCGGUGCGGCCGGCUCUCGGCUUCUCUCUGUUCCUCGCUGCGUUGGUUUGUGUUUCGCCGGUAUUCUUUCACGGACGUGAAGGCGCGGUGGUCCGCGAGGGAGGGGAGAGGGCGGGUGCGGAAAGGGGCUCGUGGAGCCACCUGCCUCACCGCACCCUCCAGGCCCCUCUCUCCCCCUGUCACGACACUAUAACCACGGAAACACACGAAAGAGAUGAAGAUCGAGUUUGUGCGGAGGCGCUGGCCAUCACGUGUGUGUGUGUGUGUUUGUGUCGGUGCGCAUCUCGGUCCUGCAGGCGCGCGACUGCACAAGAUUCACAGAGG